rnacentral:rRNA from 1 species
UGGGGGAUAUUGCACAAUGGGCGAAAGCCUGAUGCAGCGACGCCGCGUGGGGGAUGAAGGCCUUCGGGUUGUAAACUUCUUUUGCUCUGAACAAGGCAUGCCAAUGGGUGUGUUGAGUGUAGGGGUUGAUUAGCGCCGGCUAACUACGUGCCAGCAGCCGCGGUAAUACGUAGGGCGCGAGCGUUGUCCGGAAUUAUUGGGCGUAAAGGGCUUGUAGGUGGCUGGUUGCGUCUGUCGUGAAAGCUCAUGGCUUAACUGUGGGUUUGCGGUGGGUACGGGCUGGCUUGAGUGCAGUAGGGGAGGCUGGAAUUCCUGGGGUAGCGGUGGAAUGCGCAGAUAUCAGGAGGAAUACCGGUGGCGAAGGCGGGUCUCUGGGCUGUUACUGACACUGAGGAGCGAAAGCAUGGGGAGCGAACAGG